CUACGGAGGGGGUUAGCGUUGUUCGGAAUUACUGGGCGUAAAGCGCACGUAGGCGGAUUAGUAAGUUAGAGGUGAAAUCCCAGGGCUCAACCCUGGAACUGCCUUUAAUACUGCUAGUCUUGAGUUCGAGAGAGGUAAGUGGAAUUCCUAGUGUAGAGGUGAAAUUCGUAGAUAUUAGGAGGAACACCAGUGGCGAAGGCGGCUUACUGGCUCGAUACUGACGCUGAGGUGCGAAAGCGUGGGGAGCAAACAGGAUUAGAAACCCUAGUAGUCC
rnacentral:rRNA from 1 species